UGCCCAGACUCCUACGGGAGGCAGCAGUAGGGAAUUUUGCGCAAUGGGGGAAACCCUGACGCAGCAACGCCGCGUGAUUGAUGAAGCCCUUCGGGGUGUAAAGAUCUGUCAGUGGGGACGAAACUUGACGGUACCCACAGAGGAAGCACCGGCUAACUCCGUGCCAGCAGCCGCGGUAAUACGGAGGGUGCGAGCGUUAAUCGGAAUUACUGGGCGUAAAGCGCUCGUAGGCGGUAUGUCAAGUCAAGGGUGAAAUCCCCGCGCUCAACGUGGGAACUGCCUUUGAAACUGGCAAACUGGAGUGUGUGAGAGGAUAGUGGAAUUCCAGGUGUAGGAGUGAAAUCCGUAGAUAUCUGGAGGAACAUCAGUGGCGAAGGCGACUAUCUGGCACAUAACUGACGCUGAGGAGCGAAAGCGUGGGUAGCAAACAGGAUUAGAUACCCCUGUAAA
rnacentral:rRNA from 1 species